rnacentral:rRNA from 1 species
GACAGAGGGUGCAAACGUUGUUCGGAUUUACUGGGCGUAAAGCGCGUGUAGGCGGCUUGGCAAGUCGGAUGUGAAAGCCCACGGCUCAGCCGUGGAAGCGCAUCCGAAACGGCCUCGCUCGAGUCUCGGAGAGGAAGGUGGAAUGCUUGGUGUAGAGGUGAAAUUCGUAGAUAUCAAGCAGAACACCUGCGGCGAAGGCGGCCUUCUGGACGAUGACUGACGCUGAGACGCGAAAGCGUGGGGAGCAAACAGG